UACGUAGGGUGCAAGCGUUAAUCGGAAUUACUGGGCGUAAAGCGUGCGCAGGCGGUUUUGUAAGACAGGUGUGAAAUCCCCGGGCUUAACCUGGGAACUGCAUUUGUGACUGCAAGGCUGGAGUGCGGCAGAGGGGGAUGGAAUUCCGCGUGUAGCAGUGAAAUGCGUAGGUAUGCGGAGGAACACCGAUGGCGAAGGCAAUCCCCUGGGCCUGCACUGACGCUCAUGCACGAAAGCGUGGGGAGCAAACAGG
rnacentral:rRNA from 1 species